AGAGGGUUAGUUUAAAUAAAACACUUGAUUUCGGCUUAAGAAAUUUUGGUUUAACUCCAAAGCCCUCA
rnacentral:tRNA from 1 species